GACGAACGCUGGCGGCGUGCUUAACACAUGCAAGUCGAACGGAAAGGCCCUGCUUUUGUGGGGUGCUCGAGUGGCGAACGGGUGAGUAACACGUGAGUAACCUGCCCUUGACUUUGGGAUAACUUCAGGAAACUGGGGCUAAUACCGGAUAGGAGCUCCUGCUGCAUGGUGGGGGUUGGAAAGUUUCGGCGGUUGGGGAUGGACUCGCGGCUUAUCAGCUUGUUGGUGGGGUAGUGGCUUACCAAGGCUUUGACGGGUAGCCGGCCUGAGAGGGUGACCGGCCACAUUGGGACUGGGAUACGGCCCAGACUCCUACGGGAGGCAGGAGUGGGGAAUAUGGCACAAUGGGCGGAAGCCUGAUGCAGCAACGCCGCGUGCGGGAGGACGGCCUUCGGGUUGUAAACCGCUUUCGCCUGUGACGAAGCGUGAGUGACGGUAAUGGGUAAAGAAGCACCGGCUAACUACGU
rnacentral:rRNA from 1 species